rnacentral:lncRNA from 15 species
AAAUAAAUAUGAAAUGUUCAACAUUCACUUUUUUCAGUUAUUUUAUGAACAUUAAUAAACACUAUAGUAUUACUACUUUACCACAGUGAGGUUUGAGCACAUGUGUUACCUUUUGGCUUUGCUAGCAAGUUCAUACAUAUACAUUUUAAAUAAAAUAAAGAGUUGAAUGAUAAAAUAAGAUGUUUCUAGUUUUCCAUUGAGGGCAGAAUUCACAGGAUUAACUGAGGACAAUGUGCUAGACAGGGUCAACAAACUACAGUUAGUAGUUCUAUCAUACAGAAUAUACAUGGAAAGUGUACCGGCCAACCUGAGAGCUGAAAGUAGAUAUUUUUAUUCAUAUUUGAGAGAUCUACAAACUUCCUCACUCAGCCAUAAAGGUCACUGGGGGUCCUCUGGUUGAUGCAAUAUCCUGUUAACUGAUAUAACCUCUUUACUUCAAAAUAAAAGUCAAAUGGUACGAUUGUGCCACACUGACAGUUUACUGAUUGCUUGACUAAAGUUUUUCAGUUAUUUUAAAGGGCUUUAAAAUCAUUUGUGUUUGUAAAAUGUUGUUUAUUAUUAUUAUUUAUUUACAGAAUCAUGCCAUGGUAUUUUACUUUAAUUUAUCUAAAGGUUUUUAAUUAAUAUUUAUUGUUUUAAUGUACUUAUAUUGUAUUCACACUAAAUAGGUUUUAUAUAAUAAAAUAUGUGUCAACAAUGUAUUAAAUGAUUGACCCAUAUGUGUAUAUGAGUGAAUCUGUGUGUCUGAUAUCUGAGUGUAGUCCAGAGGUUUGUUGUUUUUGUCUUUUUACCAACUAGACAAAGAAAUCACUAUGAACAGAAUUAAGUUUCACUUUUAGUUCUGUGAUUUCCUCGUCGCUCUCUCUUGUUUCCUCUUUCUUCUUCUUUGUGUGUUGAGAGAGCAGACAGAGAGUCUGACUGACAGCAGAGUCAGUGCUGAAAAAACAAAAGUAAAAUGUAAAUCUGGAUGCAAAGUGCAAGUCCAGGUGUGGUCAAAGUGGUCGUGGAAGAAGGCAGCGUUGCCAUUCUACCAUGUUCUCUCAGCUCCAAGGAGAACAUUGUAGAUAAGUUCUUUGACUGGCAGAAAGAUGGUCAGAAGAAGAAGGAGGAGGUGUUCGUGUAUGAUGCAGGCGAUCAUUACAAUAACGGACGUACAGGUCAAGAUCAACACUUCAAAGGUCGAGUCUUUCAUUUUGAAGAUCAACUGAAGAACGGUAACGCCUCCAUAAAGAUCAGAAAUACACAGCUGGAUGACAGUGGAAACUACACCUGUCAUUUUCCUCAUCUUGAACCAAGACAAACCUUCCACAUAAAGCUUGUUGUUGGUGAGUACUUUCAUUAAACAGUUAAAGAUGUUGUUCAUUUACUCAUGAGACUGGUUUGAGAGUCUCUGAUGGACUUUUGUCAAGUAGUCAGAAUCCACAUCUGGCAGAGCCUCGUCCCCACAGCGCUGCAGCCACAUCUGGACUGAUUACCUCUGUAUCAAACAUGAUAUUAGUGACGCAUUGAUCAUUAUGUCUCUGUACAAUGAAAUCUCAGCAGUCUGAAAUCAGUGUGCACUCUCAGGUUUUUAUUACCUCUCUGCUUUCCAAACCCUCUGACAUAAUUCUGUUUUGCCUUUUAGAUGGUGACUUAACCUCUUAGAUAUCAUUUUAUUGAUGUGCAUUUCAGUCUCUCAGUAUCUACCAGUUUUAAACUGUUUAAUAGCACAAACAUGAGGAACUGAUACAUGUUCAUUUAAUCACAGUAAAGCAAACACUCUGAGGUUUCAUCAGGUGUGUUAAUCUUACUGAAGGCUCUGAGAGAGUUAAAUUGUUUAAUGACCAAACAGAAACAAAUAGAAGUUUUCUUGUUUUUGUUUUCAUUUGACUUUUGUUUAAAAUCCAGUAAAUAAGACAUAAUACAGACUAUCAGGCUGAAGUUCUCAGGAUCUCUCCCUCAACUUGUCUAUAAUGUCUGUAGAAACUUUGAUGUUGACAGACAGAAGUGGCUCUGAGAUAUUUUAGAAAGUGCAGUACAGAUUAUCUCCAGCAGGUGUCCACAGAGCUCUCUAAAACUUCUCCAAAGUUCCCAAAUGAUGACAAUAAAUCCCUUUAACCUCACUCUGACCCUGAAUAAAUGUCACUAAGAGUUUAAUUGAACUAUAAAAAUCUGUUUUUAAUAUUUAAAUAAAGAUGUACAUAUUAAUUAUCACUGAAUAAUGUCUGUGUAAACAGAUAAAUAAAGUUUCUGUGUUCUGUGGGAGUCCCACUACCACAGGAAGUCCGACAACGUUAACUUCCAUAUAUGGUCAGACAGGUAAUUUCAGUGGCUACAAACUCAGCGUGUUUUCACGGUGCUGACUUACCAUUGGAUGAAAGUAUCUGUCAAUCAGACACAGGUGGAGCUCCUGUGAAGAUGCUCUCCUGUGAUUGGCUGAUGGAGUUAAAGGUCUGUUAGUUUGCUCACUUUAGGUCGUAGAAAGAUGCUGAUUGGUUUGUUUUGUUGCUGGGCGUUUACUGAUUUCAGAGAGACUGAACAUCAUUGGUCCAAUCUUUAAUUGAUAACUUAAUAUUGACAGAAAUGACGUAGUUUUAAAGUUUGAUGAGCGGCGCUAAAAUGAACCGAGAGACACAAUCGACUUUUAUUCUCCUUAUUUUUACUUCCGCUUGAAGUGAAACGAGUUGGAUUUAAUCGGUGGACUUUAGUUCUUUAAAACGAGCUCCUGUUCGUCUCCAAAUGUCUGUUUUUGGACCCAUAAAUACAUUUGAACUGCAGCUAGACAGGAUAGCUAGUAAGUUGCUAAUGAGUUUACUGCCAUAAAGUAAUACAGUGCUGUUGUAAUGUCG